UCUCAUAAUUACUAAGUAUUAACAAGAAAGCUUUAUGAAUGGGUAAGUGGUGAACAUAAAUUCCUCUUGAAAGCUUUAAUAUGUCCUGAUUUAACAAUUUACAAAAUGAAUAAUUAAUAAGUGAUGUCCGAAUUUAUUCAAAUAAUAAUCUCGUCUGAAUAAGAUCUUGAACCAUAAUCCCUUAUUGUCCUUUGUAUGUUUCAGUGAUUUUGCCAGUCUUCAUCGCCACCAUUGUCGUCUUCCUGGUGCUAGUAUGUGCUCUACUCUUUGUUAUCAGGGCUCAGAGGACUCAACACAACCUGCUUAAGAGUCAGGGGUCAGGUAACGCCAGCACAGUUGCUAUGAGCCAACAUCUACCAAGUGGAAAAGGAGAUGAGGAACUCAACAAAACAAAUGAGGGCAUUUAUGCUAACACCACUGAGCUGAAGAAACCAGGUGUCACCCAACCUGCAACUACCUCUGAGCCAAUCAGCACCAACUUACCAAGCUCAAUCCGAAACGAAC